CAGUUUUCAGGAAGAGUCAUUGCCAGUCCAAUGGGAAGGAAAAUUGCAUUUUCAGUCAACUUCCUUCAACAGUUUGGUUCUGAUGAGAAAAUACUCAGACUUCGGCCGAAGAUACGAUUGGGCAGAUAAUCUAAAGGUAGGCUUAAUGAGGGCACAAAAGGAACGGAAACCCCUCAUGAUGAUUAUUCAUACCAGUGGAUGUCCAGCUUGUCGGAAUCUUAAAACGAACUUUGCAAGUGAUAAAACCCUUCUUGAGAUGAGUAAGAAAUUUGUAAUGGUAAGCGCAUUGGAUGAGGAAGAGCCCGAAGAAGAAAAAUUUCAGCCAGAUGGACAGUAUUACCCAAGAAUUAUCUUUAUAUCGCCGUGUGGGAAAGUACUACAGGAGAUAAUCAACGAAAAACGCAUGAAAAAGGAAUCAAAAUAUUUUUACUCUUCAGUGUUGGACAUUAGAAAGUCAAUGGAUCGAGUUUUAGAGAGAUUUGAGAAGUGACUUUGAGAUAAUCUGACAAAUAACGGACGAAAUUUAAAUUUGAACUGACAAG